rnacentral:rRNA from 1 species
GAUGAACGCUGGCGGCGUGCCUAAUACAUGCAAGUCGAGCGAACGGACGAGAAGCUUGCUUCACUGAUGUUAGCGGCGGACGGGUGAGUCAUACGUGGAUAACCUACCUAUAAGACUGGGGUAACUUCGGGAAACCGGAGCUAAUACCGGAUGAUAUUUUGAACCGCAUGGUUCAAAAGUGAAAGACGGUCUUGAUGUCCCUUAUAGAUGUAUCCGCGCUGCAUUAGUUAGUUGGUAAGGUAACGGCUUACCAAGGCCACGAUGCAUAGCCGACCUGAGAGGGGGAUCCGCCACACUGGAACGGAGACACGGUCCAGACUCCUACGGGAGGCAGCAGUAGGGAAGCUUCCACAAUGGGCGAAAGCCUGACGGAGCAACGCCGCGUGAUUGAUGAAGGUCGUCGGAUCGUAAAACGCUUUUAUUAGGGAAGAACAUAUGUGUAAGGAACAGUGCACAUCUUGACGGUACCUAGUCAGAAAGCCACGGCUAACUACGUG